AUCCUGGGUUCAGCUUUCCCUGUGAGAAGGACACAUAUAACAAUAAGAAAUUAAGGGCUCGGGAAGGAGAGGGGCCACCCUGUGCUCACCCCCACGCAGCCCUGCAGGAAAACCCAGUGAAAGGUGCCCAGGUGCCUGGCUGACUCCUGGGCCGGGAGGGGACAUGGAGGGACAGUGGCCAUCAGGCUCUUUGUGGACACUGGGGAUUAACUACUGCUCGUUCUCAGCUCACUGGUGUCCAGCCCAUCAAUAACCUCAUCAAUAACCUAACUUUGGUCAAUUAGGUUGGAGUCCAAAGGUGACUGAUUUGCUGGCAAGGUUUUCUUUCUUCCUCUGUAAAGUGGAGUCCUUCAUCAUCCAUCGCAAGGAGACAACUCACUUCCUAAUGCCUCUGCAUCAAGGAGCCAUGCGCUGUAGCUUUUUGGUACCUGAUCUCAAAUAGAUUCAUGCGUCCUUCUGCUGACAGGGUGGCAGAGAAGAGGGAAGGGUCCCGCCUGGUGGAGGCCUGAGAGCCACCGGGCUGCGGUGCGCGAGUGUGGACGCCGCCCCCGCCUUCUGCGUCUACAGCCCUGGGUUCUGGGACCUUUGG
rnacentral:lncRNA from 1 species